CUGAAUGUUAAUGGCCUCUUUAAAGGUCUUGUCUCCAAAUGCAGUCACAUUGGGGGUUAAGGCUUCAGCAUAUGAGUUUGGGGGUGACACAAUGCACUUUGUAGCAGGUAUUAAUCAAAUGGAAGUAGAAGCCACAAGAGCUACACUUGAAAGAAGCGAGAAGGUGGAGGAGACCCAGAAGCUACGGACAAACGCAGGGGAAACUAGCAUUCCUGGGCAAGCAGAGGGCCCUGUGAGGAGACAGAAGGAAAGUGGGGAAGCACCACAAGACGCAGUGGCCUCAAUUUUUUGCUCGGUGGGAGGAGACAAGGAGCGAAGCACCAGGCCUGAGGUCAGAAGGGAGCAUGGGUUUACAGGUAAAAAAGGAAACACAACAACAACAGAGACCCGGAGAGUUGACAUAACCUGUUGGCGACAAGUGGCUAGUGUAGCUGGAGUUGGGAAUUGGACUGAGGCAUGUCUGGAUCCAAAGCCACAACUCGCUGAUUGUCAGGUUGAGAAACACGGCUGGCUGCACCCACGUCUGUGACCAUAGCUGGCUCUCUCGGAAGGAUCAAUAACAACUCCGUGAGCUCUGUUCCCAGAUCUCUCCAGAGUCCAACCACUCCCACCCCAGUCUCCCGCCUGGGCCACCACCACAACCCACCUGGUUUUACUGAAACAAUCUAAGAGGUCUCCUGCUUUUAGCAGCUGGAGUGAUCUUUUGAAAGAUUCCAUCUGAUCAUGCUUCUCUUGUGCUUAGAGCCCUCUGGUGGCUCCAGUGUCACCCAGAGUCAAAGCCAAAGUCCCUAUAACAGCCUAGGAAGCCCUUCGCACCCGCAGUUCCAUAUCCCCCAUCUCUCAUGAUCUCUGGUUUUACUGCUUCCUGCUCUCCCCUCUGCUUCAGUUAUGUGAGCCUCCGUUCUAAUCCUGGAGAGCACAGCACGCUCCUGCCUCAGGGCCUUUGUACUUGCGCCUGCUGUCUGCUGUCUGAAAGGCCCUUCCCCAAGGACCUCCUAGCCACUGCAACCCUUCCUACCUGCUCCCAACUCUCUGCACCCCCUGCCCUUUUCCUCCCCACAGCACUGUCGCCAAGUGAUGUCAUUUGACUGAUUUAUUUAAUAAUUUUCUGCUCCCCCUGCUAGAAUGUAAGCUUCAUGAGCAUAUGGGUUUUUCUGGGGUCCCCCCUACCCCCGCUGCUGUAUUUCUAGUAUCUAGAACAGUACUAGGCACAUACUAGAUUCUCAACAAAUGUUUGUGGAAGAAAGGGAGAAAGGUGUCGGUCAUCUGAUUUCGGGUGGUGCCAAACUCUGGGCGGGCCUGGGAAAAGCUGAAAGCUGGGGCCCAUCUCCCAGGCAGAAGUGGCUUUGGCCUCUUAGUGCUUCCUCUUUGCAGCUUCAGGACAAAAUGGUUUUUGUUUCUUUAAAUUUUUAUUGAAUUUAUUGGGGUGACAUUGGUUAAUAAAACUUUGUAGGUUUCAGGGGUACAAUUCUAUUGUACAUCAUUUGUAUGUUGUGCUGUGUGUUUGCCACCCCAAGUCAAGCCUCUUUCCAUCACCAUUUACCCCCCUUUUCCUUCCUCUACCUCCCCCAACCCCCUUCCCUCUGGUCAUCAAAAUACUGUUGUCUGUGUCUAUGAGGCUUUUGUUUGUUUGGUUUUUUUGCUUAAUCCCUUCCCUUUUUCCCCCAGCCCCCCAGACCCCUCCCCUCUGACAGCUGUCAGUCUGUUCUCUGACUGUAUGAGUCUGUUUCUA